UAAAUAGUUAAUCAUCUUUCAUUGGCUUUCAUUUCCCAGUUUACUCAAUCUAUCCCAGACCAUUUCUACAGAUAGCCAAAGUCACGAUAUGCAACCAGAGUUAAAAUGCAUCCAAUAAAACUUACUUUAAAAAACAAUAUUUCAGACAACCCCAAGCUCCCUCCUAUAUAUUGUAUAACAAUAUCAAACGUAAUAUGUAUUGACAAAACUGUUUAUAUUUAAGUUGAAGUUGUUUGUUAAGAUAACGUUAAUACCGUACCGUUUUAUUUAAAGUUACGUUAUUACAUCUUAUCAUGGCAACACUAAAACUCAAUAUUUUAUCAUGGCAACCCCGCAAUGAAGCGUCCCGGAAGUAACAGAGGGGAUGUGUUAAGCUUCUCUCUGAUCAACCUGACCGUUGUCACUGGCUCAGUUUUGAAUUUCACCCUGUGUCGUGAAGUGAAAUGUAAUUGUGAAGUGUAAUGAAUUUUGUUGCUGAAGAAAAUAAUUGGCUCUAAUGAAUGAAUCCGGGUUGCUGGAUGAGUUGGGUGACCCUGAAUCUAUCCUUUAGGUAAGUAAUACACUAUUCUCUUUACUCUCUUUUUUUUUCAGAACAUUUUUUCCUAAAAAUGUCAACUAGGUAGGACACGUUCAGUUAUUUCAGUAUAUAUUAGUUUACCGUAAUGUUAAUUUAAACUACAUAUUUAGUUUAUAUCUAUGCUAUAAUACUAUCCUGUUGCCAUUAUGUUAUUAGUUCAUUAUAUAUAGGUAUGAUGAAAAAAAUUUAACUCAUUGGCCUACAAUCUAUUCUUUUUUCUUCUGAAGUCUGUUCUAUUUGCACUAUAGAUACUGAUAAGAAAGUGUUGUUACGCCUACUUACUUGUUUUAAGUGAACUCUAUUGCCUAUAUAAUAUGAAUGAAAUUUGAUAACACAAAACAAGACGUAUUAAGGAGUACCUGCGACCCUUUUUUUCCGACCCUUUAAGUGGCCAAACGCGUCUCGCCUUGAGCGUCAGCUAUUUUUAACACAUGUAUUAAUUUUACGGUUUUCAAAUUUUUGCUUAAAUAUGAUUUCAGAUACGUAAGGCGUUUUUGAGUAAGCUGAUAUGUAAUUAGUCCUCCUAAUUAUAUGACGACAUUUUAUAAGUAAGUAUACUUUUCCUAACCUAGCAGUUUUUUAUUUAUUUCAUUUUGUUCAUUUAUUUAUUAAAUAAAACAAAUUUAAUGAAUUUCAUCGCAAUAACCAAAUAUUUACUGUAAUUAUUUUCAAACUAAUUCCUCAUAACCAAAUUUUUUUGUUCCAAAAAGUGAUAUUCUCGUAUAUAUAAUUAAAAUUGUAUUGAUAAUUUUAGUUUCUUUAUGAUAUAUUGAAAUCUUAAUCUACGAAAAUAAAUACAAAACGUCUUUGUUCUCUGUUUAAACUGGAUACUUCCCAAUUUUCAGAUGUUCCAAGUAACGAGGUAUCGAGUGCCACUGAAUGCUGUACUGUUAUUUUAUUUUGAGGUAAUUAAAUUGCUUACUUGAUAUUAACAUAACUUUUUUUCCCAGAUAAUAUUAUGUAAUAUGAUACUAUGUAUGAUUAAUAUAUAUUUUUCAAAUCAUUUUAUGAACUAAAAAUCAUUACUGCUAGUCUUAGUCUCUCUUUAGUUUAAAUAUAUAAAUUGUUAAUUGAAACUAUAUAUAUAUAUUUUUUUUCCGAAAAUUCCACUACCGCUAUUUGUGCCUUCGGGUAACAUAAAGUAGCCCAACUCUUUAACAUACAAGCUUAUAGGGUAAUAUAUGUAUUUUUUAUGAUUAAUACACUCCAUUUUUAUGAACAAUACACAAAUCAAGUUCAUUCAUUUUAUUUCCUACUCUAUGUAUAAUUGAAUGAAGCGACUUGUAUAUGUGAAUAGUGUUACUUCCACACAUACAGACUACUAUUAUGCCGGAUGUGGAUUGAAGACCCUAUUCUAACCUACCUAUUUAAUAUACAUUUCAAAAAAAAACUUAAACCUAAUUUGUCGUUUGUUAUUUAUUUUUAUAAGUAAUUAUUAAAAGUCUCUAUAACAAUAUUACUUUUGUAAACAUUUUUGGUAACACUUAAUAAUAAUAAAAAUAUUAAUAAUUUCAGCUAAACUACGACAUUCAGCAUCUCUACACUCGACCCGCGACCCCAAGAACCAGUGUUCUUCUACUCUAGACUUGGUAAUAUUAGUCUCUACAAUGCAAGUUACAUCGAUAGAGUGAAGCCAAGAGGAGAAAAAAUUAUAUUGA